rnacentral:ncRNA from 1 species
CCAUCCCCUUUCGUCCGGACCGUAUUUGCCUACCCAGGUUCUUACGGGUGACGGGGAAUCGGGUUCGAUUCCGGAGAGGGAGCCUGAGAAACGGCUACCACAUCCAAGGAAGGCAGCAGGCGCGCAAAUUACCCAUUCCCGACGCGGGGAGGUAGUGCCGAAAAAUAACAAUGCAGGACUCGUUCGAGGCCCUGUAAUUGGAAUGAGUACACUUUAAAAGCUUUAACGAGUAUCCAUUGGAGGGCAAGUCUGGUGCCAGCAGCCGCGGUAAUUCCAGCUCCAAAAGUAUAUAUUUAAGUUGUUGCGGUUAAAAAGCUCGUAGUUGGAUUUUGGGCGCAGGCGGCCGGUCCGUCGCAAGGCGUGUACUGGACGUCCUGGCCUUCCCUCCGGUUCUCCGCCGGUGCUCUUGACUGAGUGUCGGCGGCGGCCGGAACGUUUACUUUGAAAAAAUUAGAGUGUUCAAAGCAGGCUCUCGAGCCUGGAUAAUGGUGCAUGGAAUAAUGGAAUAGGACCUCGGUUCUAUUUUGUUGGUUUUCGGAGCGCGAGGUAAUGAUUAAGAGGGACAGACGGGGGCAUUCGUACUGUGCCGUUAGAGGUGAAAUUCUUGGAUCGGCGCAAGACGAACGACUGCGAAAGCAUUUGCCAAGAAUGUUUUCUUUAU